ACGAGGCAGCGAAACAAUUAAAAGAGGGUAAAACUAGUAUCACUGACGUUGAAGGAAGAUACCAACUCGACAUGGCGCUUGUAGAAAUUCUGAUUCUUCAGGGAAAAUAUUCGGAAGCUUCGAAAUGUUCAUGUCUUGAGAAGACAAGUUGGCCUUCAGAUCAAGUUCGACAAUAUCUUUACAAGGGCAUUAUAUAUACCAUCUUGGACGACAAAGACAAAGCAACGGAGUCUUGGGAAGAAUUUAUCAAUAAGGGAUUCCAGGGCGGACCCGAUCCAUUUGACGAGACCUGAAACAUUUGAAUUUAUUUAUUAUGCCCAUUUGUUUUACGUUUCGAAGUUUUACUAUAUUGUUUGCAUCGUCGAUAUUUUAAAGUUUUAGUA